GAUGAACGCUGGCGGCGUGCCUAAUACAUGCAAGUCGAGCGAACGGACGAGAAGCUUGCUUUUCUGAUGUUAGCGGCGGACGGGUGAGUAACACGUGGAUAACCUACCUAUAAGACUGGGAUAACUUCGGGAAACCGGAGCUAAUACCGGAUAAUAUUUUGAACCGCAUGGUUCAAAAGUGAAAGACGGUCUUGCUGUCACUUAUAGAUGGAUCCGCGCUGCAUUAGCUAGUUGGUAAGGUAACGGCUUACCAAGGCAACGAUGCAUAGCCGACCUGAGAGGGUAACGGCCCACACUGGAACGGAGCCAGGGCCCAGACUCGUACGGGGGGCAGCAGUAGGAACUCUUCCGCAAGGGGCGAAACCCUGACGGGGCAACGCCGGGUGAGUAAUGAGGGUCUUCGAACCAAAAAACUCUUUUAUGAGGAAAAAACAUAUUUAAAAGUAACGGUGCACAUCUUGAGGAUCCUAAAUCAGAAACCCAGGGCUAGCUAGGUG
rnacentral:rRNA from 1 species